rnacentral:rRNA from 1 species
UACGGAGGGAGCUAGCGUUAUUCGGAAUUACUGGGCGUAAAGCGCACGUAGGCGGCUUUGUAAGUUAGAGGUGAAAGCCCGGGGCUCAACUCCGGAACUGCCUUUAAAACUGCAUCGCUUGAAUCCAGGAGAGGUGAGUGGAAUUCCGAGUGUAGAGGUGAAAUUCGUAGAUAUUCGGAAGAACACCAGUGGCGAAGGCGGCUCACUGGACUGGUAUUGACGCUGAGACGCGAAAGCGUGGGGAGCAAACAGG